CAAGGUGAAAUCUAAUUGGCCUGGAGAAGAGCUUGCGUCUGAUUAGCUAGUUGGUGGGGUAAGAGCCUACCAAGGCGACGAUCAGUAGCUGGUCUGAGAGGAUGAGCAGCCACACUGGGACUGAGACACGGCCCAGACUCCUACGGGAGGCAGCAGUGGGGAAUUUUCCGCAAUGGGCGAAAGCCUGACGGAGCAACGCCGCGUGAGGGAGGAAGGUCUUUGGAUUGUAAACCUCUUUUCUCAAGGAAGAAGUUCUGACGGUACUUGAGGAAUCAGCCUCGGCUAACUCCGUGCCAGCAGCCGCGGUAAUACGGGGGAGGCAAGCGUUAUCCGGAAUUAUUGGGCGUAAAGCGUCCGCAGGUGGUCAGCCAAGUCUGCC
rnacentral:rRNA from 1 species